rnacentral:rRNA from 1 species
AAAUUGAAGAGUUUGAUCAUGGCUCAGAUUGAACGCUGGCGGCAGGCCUAACACAUGCAAGUCGAACGGUAACAGGAAGCAGCUUGCUGCUUUGCUGACGAGUGGCGGACGGGUGAGUAAUGUCUGGGAAACUGCCUGAUGGAGGGGGAUAACUACUGGAAACGGUGGCUAAUACCGCAUAACGUCGCAAGACCAAAGAGGGGGACCUUCGGGCCUAUUGCCAUCAGAUGUGCCCAGAUGGGAUUAGCU